CGGUUCCAAGGUGCACCAGGUGACACGGAUGCUUUGCGCUGUUUUGCUGCCGGUUAUCACAAGGAAAUGGUUCUCCUUUCUACUGAAACUCACGCACAGCGGUUCCCAUGCGGAAGUGCCGUCCUGAGAGCUAAAAAUAGGGCUGAGUCAGUGGCCCCAAAGGGUAUAAAGCAGGCGGGUAUAAAGCUGGAGGGGCCGUGGCUCCCCUUGCUCAGUGCUGAGGAGUUGGCUUCGACACACGUCCCGAAGAGCAGCAAUCCCAAUGGAGAGCAAAACGCGGGUUGUGCCCACGGAGCAGCAGCAAUGGGACACUGCAUGGCAGCCGUCGGGAUCCAUCCUUUCUCUGGACAGGCGAGGGGCCAAGAAAGUGCUGGAGAUCUACGUCAGGCGUUCAUUGAGCUGCUGUGAGAACACACAGGCGGCCAAGGAAAGGCUUCAGGAGAGAACCAAAGCACGAGGGAGGAAGGCAGCCGUGCUGCAAAGGUCGGAGAGUGACUUUGGCAAGUAUUCGCAUGGCAAAAGCAGCCUGAAAAAGGAGCAGGAGGAGGCAGCCAAGGAGCUGGGGCUGGAGGAGGCUGUGGUUGAGGAGAGCAAAGCGUCGGUUCCCGGGGAGGAACCUAAAGAGGAGCUGGAGCCUAAGAGGAAAAGCACAAAGAGCUCUCCCCAGAGCAAGGCCCAGCGCACCUGGUUCAAGAGCUUCUUAAAUCUGCUCUUCAAAAGGAGCCCUGAGGAGCAGAAGGAAAACGCUGGGCAAAAAGUGAAGGAAAAAGAUGUCAGAACUCCUUACAGCAGCAAAACAGAAGGGCCCAGGAGACCCAGAGCCGACACCAGCACAUCCCCUCCACUGGGCAAAGCCUCCAGGAAGAGACCCAGCCUCAAGAAGGUCUUCUCCUUCAAGAAGAACGUGGAGGAGGAGCGUGGUGAGGUGGGGGCCAGGGCCAAGCGUCCCAGCUGCCUGCCCCUGCGGCACAUCCUUGCGUCCAGCCCUACAGAUGAAGCCAUCAGAGAAAUUGUGGCCUUGCUGCAGGAAGCUGGAGAUGAGCUGGACAGGCAGGUGAGAGCCUAUGGGGUCAGGGGAACCUUCGCUCUGACACAGUGGAGACGCUCAGUGAAAUCAAGGAAAUGGUGCCCUCGAAUUCCCCGCCGGGGUGUGAUCCUGUCUGCCUGCCCUCUCCCAUCUGCAGUCCUCACGAGAUGCAAAGGCGUCAACCCGAGGCUGACGCACCGCAUUGUUUGCCCUCAAUGA
rnacentral:lncRNA from 1 species